UUCUACGCAAAUUGUUCAUCUGUCAUCAGUGCGUGGACUUUCUAACAGCUAUACAAAGCUGUCCUUGUCAAGGAGGCUUACAUAGACCUUCAGGAGCACAUAAUAGAAAGCAUGUGUCGAGCUACUCUAGUUAUUACCGUCAUGCUCACUGCUUUCAUUGCAAAUACACUGGGUCAACGCAACAAACGAGGCACCGCCACCUUCCCGCGACAAGGAAAUUGCAAGGCAUCUUUUGUAAGGUAUUACUGCAUGGAAGACGGUUGCAGGGAAUUUGUAGGCUGCUAUAGAGGUGGCUAUAAAAUCAUGCACAAAUGCAAGAAGUGCUGCCGCAACAAGAAAAUGCCAUGGCAAACCCAUCAUGAACGUUCCCGAGGACCUCAAUAAUAGACGUUCACGCCUCUUUCUCUGCCGUAAAAGAAUAGACAAGUGGAACC
rnacentral:lncRNA from 1 species